rnacentral:rRNA from 1 species
AGUGAACGCUGGCGGUAGGCCUAACACAUGCAAGUCGAACGGCAGCACAGUAAGAGCUUGCUCUUACGGGUGGCGAGUGGCGGACGGGUGAGGAAUACAUCGGAAUCUACUUUUUCGUGGGGGAUAACGUAGGGAAACUUACGCUAAUACCGCAUACGACCUACGGGUGAAAGCAGGGGAUCUUCGGACCUUGCGCGAUUGAAUGAGCCGAUGUCGGAUUAGCUAGUUGGCGGGGUAAAGGCCCACCAAGGCGACGAUCCGUAGCUGGUCUGAGAGGAUGAUCAGCCACACUGGAACUGGGACACGCUCCAGACUCCUACGGGAGGGAGCAGUGGGGAAUAUUGGACAAUGGGCGCAAGCCUGAUCCAGCCAUACCGCGUGGGUGAAGAAGGCCUUCGGGUUGUAAAGCCCUUUUGUUGGGAAAGAAAAGCAGCAGGUUAAUACCCCGCUGUUCUGACGGUACCCAAAGAAUAAGCACCGGCUAACUUCGUG